GGAUCCAUUCAGAAUCACCGACGCGACAGCUGAAGGACGUUGUUUUCCUACGACAAAUUACGCGCGCGUUCGCCGCUUUCGACGCGCGGCGUCGACGCGUGUGCGUGUAAUCCUCCCGUGUUGUCUACACACACCAACACACAACGUACGCACACUAUAACGCCGACCUACCCCACUGAGAAUCGUGUUUCAAUACAGAAACCGAAAACCAUAUCAUUACGCUGAAGCUCGUAGCAAACUUUCGUAGCAAAUGCGCGCGCGCAAUCGACUAACCUUUGCGAGGGCCAGUUAGCGCGUUUCACAGGUGUGUGUUAAUUCACGCGGUAAUCGAGUACGCGUGCCACUAAGAAAACAUUUUUCUGUAGUAAGUUUCUCUUUGAUUCUUCGAUACGGUGAUUUUAUUCUUUAAUCGUGUGGUCCUGGACGGAUUUAUUGCGAUUUGAAGUAAGAUCGAUGGAGUGUUUGGAGUAAGAAUGACGGAGAGUUUAGAUGCAUACAUAUAGUGCUUGAAAUCGUAUUCGCAUUGCCACAACAUUCAUUUCUCAAUUAAAAUUUUGGAAGCGACGACCAUCGUAAAACUCUUAAGCAAAGAUGCGCUGGAUGUGUAACGUCGAAAAAUGCUGGAAAAAUCAGACAGACGUGUAGGACCGUGGUCUGGCUCGCGGGGCAGAUUUGAGUGAGGAACGGAAGAGGAGGUUCGGAACGAUUAUGCAGCACGACACGGUGCCCAACAAGGAGAGACAAGGAGAUGGAGAGAAAAAGAGAAGGAGUGCACGAUGCACACGCUGCGAGCAAUGUGCGAGGCUUCGCGCGGCCGUCAAUUACGAUUAAUUAGAGCGGAGACUGACAGCGGACGCAGCGACGGCUACUUAAUACUUUAACUUGUCCCCAACCCUCCACCCGUUCACUUCCUCCGUCGUCGUCGACGGUGACGAAUCGACCGAGAGCUCCGUUCGUUUCGUUCAUCGUAAACUAUCGUGUAUAUAUCCCUUUUUGCCUUUUUCUCCUCGAUGUUCCCUCCAUUCACGAAACGUGAGAUCUCUGUUACGACCUUGUUCGCGGCAGGGAAAAAGUCACCAUCCAGGAAAUUCAAGCUUCUGGCUUAGGGCCACGCGUGCUCUCGUAAUAGGACAGUUUGUUCCUUGCAAAAUCAUUCCUUUUCUUGAAAUUCUAUUUCUAUUGCGUUCUUUCGGUUGUAAGAAAAAGUCUAAGGGAAUAAAAUACGGGGCUCAUUACAUAAAUAGAUAGAUAGAUAGUUUUAUUUAAGCCUGGCGGCCUUGAAACAAGACUUGAAUUACAAUUCCUCAGUUUAUUACAGUAUUUAAAAGGCUAAAAUAUACGUAGAAUACUCUUUGUUCGUUAACGAUCGCAGAAAGAUGCAAUUAUAACUUUUUAACGUUAGAAAAUGUCUCAGGAUUGAACAAGAUAUGAAAAAUUUCUCACGGGAAUGCAGGAUCUUUUUAAUGUGCUCUUACAAGAUUAGAAAUCCCCUUUUUCCGCUAAAAUUGUAAAGAUAAUAUAACAAUAUGAAAAUUUCAGCAUCGCAGCAAGGUUAAAUUCGCUUCGAUAUUUGUAUUGUAUGAAAUGAAUUUUUAGAAUAUUUUUUGUAUUGUUUUUUUGUACCAGGUAUAAAUAGUUGGAAGGUUUGUAGUACUUGAAAUUAAAAUCAAAUUUUGGAGAUUGAUUUAUUAGUGUCUUGAUAGAAAUAUUUUUUACUAUAAGAUUGACUUUUUAGUGAGUGAGAGAUACUUCAUGCCAAUGAAUUAGUACUUUUUGACUAUAAAAGUAGAUGUCGAUACAAUGGAAGAUCACUCAUCUGAAUCUGAUUGUUGCGUUAGACAUCGAGCAUAGGAGAAUAAUUUUAUUAUAUUAUAUAAGAGUUCACGUUCACAUUAGUAGAUUCAAUCAGCAGGUGUUUAGUUACUCGAGUAUUAAAUAAAAUCUUGUUCCAGUAAAACGAAUUCUCCUUUAUACACGUAAUCUAAAUCUACUCUUACUUGUCUAUUAAAUGUAGAAUUAACAUUUACAGUUACGGGAUAACGUGUAAAAGUAGUUAUCGAAAUGAAAUAUUAACACCAUAAGAUAAACUAUCAAAGCAUCCCAAUCUGUCGUUAGUUUGACGAAGGAAGUGAGAAUUAAUGACAAUUAGUUAGUAGAAACAUCAGAGUCUCUCGACUUUGAACAAGUCGAAUCUAAUAACAAGUUGUCGGUGUACACACUUCGUAACAACCGUAAUUAAUUAUAUAAUAUCGUGAUCUACGUUAGAAAGAGAGGACUCGCUGCAUUAUUAAACAGCAACAAUUAAAACGAAGAAUUAAUUCAGAAUAUUGCGGAUGCGCCGUUUCACGGUUUCAGGCAUACGUUCGUUACGCAUCGCAUCGACUUUAUAUUAAUAAGUAUGAUGUUCUGCUCGUUUGUAAGACGUAAAAUCAUUAAUCAAAGCUACAAUUAUAUACACGUUGGCACCAUUUUAUAAGUUACCCACCGUAGCGCGAAAACUAUUUAUUUUUCCAAUACCGUAGCAACAACACGGCUUCAUAUUGAGAUUAUAUUUUAUCAGGUGUUUCAUUACGAAAAAGAAAACAUUACAAACGUAUGAAAAUUUAUUUAUAGCCAUUCACGAAGGUCUUCGUACACCUUAUUCCUUCAUAUACCUUCCUAUACGAAGGUCUUUUCAUUCACUGUAUGGUACAGUGGUUGUCUUAUCACGUAACCGAUAUGUUCAGAAAUUCAUUAAAGUUUAGCAAGAAAAUUUUGUUUAAAUAAAAAUGACGCUUUUAUAAGAUUCGCGAAGACUUUUACGAUUAACCGUAUACGGUAACCUUUCUUAUUUUUUCAUGCUAACAAUAGGAAAGACAAUUUUAUCGUUAUUAGUAUGUUGCUGUAAUUGUGUCGGUGAAAUAGAAAAUGGUCAAUAACAAUUCAAUUGAUUUAACAAUCUAAUUUUCACAUUAUCGGCAUCGUCGUUAUGUCAGUGAAGUAGCAAUAUCUGUUAAGUAUGAAUUGGUUACGUAGCCAAUAGCAAUGUAGUCAAUUUAAUAAUUUAAUAUCGACAAACAAUAGUCUUUUGAAGUAAUCACAAGCGGAAGCUUUGAUCGGAAGUUGUGGAAGUAGGGAAAGAAGAAGGAGGGCGAAAACGUAUUUGAAUGAUUGCGCUCGUUGUCGGUCUCCUUCGCUAAUUGAGCCAUUGUCUAGGUCCGGUUAGGCACGUCUAAAAGCCUAAUGGCCGUUUCCUAGAGACGCGCCAGUCCGAAUACUGAACGAAUUAGAAUAAUUCGUUCCGUCUGGCUGCGUCACUAGAUCGCGCAACGACGUUCGUCGCCGGUUAGACGAAACCUGUCUUCUCUUUUCCUCCAUUUGCUAAGAAUCAAUGGUUCUACUUCAAUUUUUACUAACCUAACCUAUCCUUUUUUUAUUAGCUUCCUCGUCAAGUACACGGAGUUUUAAAAGGCUAUUCUAAGUGGAAUCUAGCUUAAACAUAACCUAGACUUGUCUCCUUUUUCCUCCUGCAAUUGCAAAGAAUCGGUGAUUAAUUUUGAUUAAAGCAAACCUAACCUAAACCUAAAGCAAUCAUAAUUCGAGGCUAAGCUCAAAUCUAAUGUAAACUUAAUUCGAGUUUGUUUAAACUUAAUCCAAACUUGGCCUCUUUUUCUCUUGAAAUUGCAAAGAAUCGAUGGUUAAUUUUGACUGAAGCGAACUUAACCUAAAGCUAAAGCAAUCAUAAUCCAAAGCUAAGCUCAAACCUGAUGUAAACCUAAUUGAAACUUGUUCUCUUGCUACUCUGGUUGCUAAGAAUCAGUGCUUCCGCUUUAAUUUCGACGCUUAACCUCCAUUUCGCCGGCGUGCACCACGUGUAUUACGUAUUUUUUGUAAACAUCACUUUUAUCCGGCCACGCGGAUGUUUUCCAUUAAAACGAAUCGCAUAGCGAAAACUUUUUAUUGUUCGCCGGUUUUUCCUGUUUCGACGUAUUCGAACGUAUUUUAUACGACAAAAAACAGCAUCCAGCAGGUAAAUAUCCUUCGAAUCUCGCCAUGGAAACGAUCAAUAGAAACGAGAUUUGUCGUAAUAAUUGAUGCUUCGAUAGACUGUGUGUUUCCAAUACAAAGAAACAUUAUACAUACAUAGUGUCUUCUUUCGUAUUAUAAUAUAUUUACCUUCAUUACUCGCGUUGCGGUCCUAGAUUCAAUAUCAAUAUAAAAUUAUAUUUAUUAUUAAUUUAUAUUAAUACAAAACUGUUUUUAAUACAUUUUAGGAAAAUAUUAUUCCAACACUGAAGCGAGAAAUCUUUCAUAUUUUCAUAACAUUAAGAAAUUUGUUAACAGUAAAAAUACACGAUUGGAUCAGAAACGAUGGAAACAAUGUGUUUCUUUUGUUCGUUAUUCUGUGAAAUAAUAGUAACCUUCUUCGUUUUAUCUUAUUUUCUACACAACUUACUGCAACUGCCUACCACACUAAUAACGCUAAAAGUAACUAAAAACUUCAUUCUCGUCCAUUAAAAUACCAAACAAGCAAGAAAAUGUUAAUCGAUAAAAGUUCUUGGAACCGUUCUUGGAAAAGUCCUCGGCGGAGAACGGGUCUCCCUUUUAAUUUUUAAUUUCAUUACGGAUUCUCGAGCAGCCCCAUAAUGGCCUCGAUACGCCAUAGGCCAUCUGCCACGAUCUCGAAGGAUCUGUAUCUACAUACCGAUCGAAUAUAAUCGAUCAGGAUCGAUCAGCGGAACAUCAUCUAGCUGACUGGUCGUCGAACGAUCGGCCGGUUUCGCUCGUAAGCCGUGUAAUCAUGCUACGAUCGAAUUUACAUGGCAAAUUGCGCGAAUCAGCGGAUCGAACGUUUUCUUCCUGUUAUCCAGCCGGAACAACGGCGGAUUCAUUUGUGUAAACACUAACCUCCGCGUUUACGGAAACGUUCGACUGUUGCUAAAGCGGAGAAACUGUUUCAAUAAAACGAAAAAUCAAUGAAAAAUUCUUCACUCGCACCUCUAUCAUCUUCAGUCUGUCAUUUGUGUUCUACGGCUUUUCCAAAGCUGCACUUUUCCAAAUCAUUUUUUAACCCAAUUUUAUUUUUCUAACGUAAAAAGUAUCUCGAAUUUGAGCAAAAUAUCAACGAAAUUCUUGUUGCUAAUAUAUACAUGAUUUCUUGUUUUCAUUCUAUGUUAAACAUCCUCCUGAAACAGUUCCUCUUUAUCUCUUGAAAUAAUGCGGACGGAGUUAAAAAGGUUUGAUCUUCCUAGGAAGUCCAGAUAUAAUUAUGAUGCAAAAGGGAGAACGGUCGGGGGGAGGGGCAGUGUUGCGUUUCGUGAUCGUGAUUGCUGAAUAAGAUUUUUUCCAGGGAGAGCCGGAGGUGGGAAUCUUACGGGCGUUGCGAUAAGGCACACAUUAAUUGAAGAACAACAUCCGGCAUGGAGCCGGUGGCCGACGUCGUGACAUCAUUGUCUACGACAGAACGAAAAUGGAAUUAAACGAAGCACCAUCGGCCUGAGCCGAUUCAAAGCAAAGGGUAAUUUUAGAGUGAUAGCAUUAGCGAGAAUUUCUCGCUGGUAUCGGCCAUUUCAAAAGAAGUCGAUCCAAUGUUCGACCCAUUUUUUCCUCGAUUGUUUAGUAAUCAAAUGGACAACGUUCCCUAUCGUAUAUUUUAAAUUCUUAAUCUUUUACGAACGGAGAACAGUUUAUAGGUGUUAAUGGAAAUACGAAGUCAAAGAGUAGAGAGUCUCAUUCGAAAGUAGGUUUAUUCUAGUAUAAUAUUCUUUCUCGAGUCUUCUUUCGUCGUUCAACGGCCAAAUAAAAACUAAUAUGCAAGAAACGAUCUCUAUUAUAUAUAUCUUUAAUUUUUAAUAAUGAAAAAUCGAUGUAUUGUUGCUUUGAACGAACGAACAUUCUUUUUUAAGUUUUACUCUAUCGUCUAAUGAUCAAAUUGGAAUUAAUGUCUAUGUAAUAUGUAUAAAGAAUGUUCAUUGGAUAUAAUAGAAACAUCAAUUUGGAGGGAGUAUCGCUCAAUUAUAAUUUGAAAUAAUUUAAUAAUUUCUAUUCCACGCGAUUAGAAUUAUGGCAUAUAGUACGGUGAAUAAUGAAAAUUUGAAAGAUCAAAUUCAUCGCUCAAAUUGAUCCUAGUUACUGUUAUUUUGCCAACGAUCGAUUAUAAGCCAAUGGAGCUUGUCCACCUGUCGUGUUCGAUGAGAACGCAAUUCUGACCCGGCGGCGGAACUAAUAGCUUCGACGAAGGACUACUCGUAACAGUCUGCGCGUUUAAUUAGAUAGAAGGAAUAUUAUAACGAGGUGAACACGCGUUUAUAUGUGUACAUGAGUCACAUACUAUAAGUAGUAGACAGCAUAGCACUAAUAGAUACUAUCACACUGCAGUAGUUAGUACAGUAGAUAGCAUCAUAUUGCACAAUUCGACGAUUUGUUAAAAAAAUGAAAGAUAGAUUACAACUACCAGAUAUCGUAAAUUUCCAUCGAUUAUCAAAAUUAUCAUCUGAACACAAUUAAUCUGAACUAUUAUAAUAACCGAAGAAGUUCAGAAUAUACCAAAAUAGACUUCCACGUUUUACCAUGAAAAAAAAAAAAAAAUAAAUAUAACGUUAUUUACAAGUACCAGGGUCGAAAGAAUUUUUAAUUUUGCUUCUUCCAAUUUCCACUAAUCGCCAAAUAUUUCACCAAUUUCGAUCAAAAUACGAUAAACACAAAUUCCCAACACCGAAGAAAUUCAUAGCACAGCAAUGAAAAUAUCUGUAAAACUAAUGGAAUCUGUGAGAAGUAAAAAAUCUACUAAUAUACCAAUCUCUUUCAUCCCACGAAUAAAUUUUGAAACCAAAAACGAGUACGCAAAACGUAUUUUUCUCCGGCGAAUACUGCCCCUAAAUGUUCCGUGCAAGAAACGUAAUGGCCAAACGCGUGGCAAAAAGACGUAAACGUGCAAAUGGCGAAAGAGAGACAGGAAUAGAAGUAUCUGGAGCGAGCACCAGGUCUGAGUGUUCCGUUUUACGAUCUUCCUUCGGCCGACAGGAGCCACACGAUCGGUAGUCGGAGGAUCCGGGGUUAAAGAAGGGAAAAAAUAUGAGGGAAGUCGAUGACGAUAAAGAAGAGAAGAAGAGGUGGAGUAGAGGCUUGCUAGAACGAAUGGCUGUGCCAAAUUAACCAUGAUUUAUGAACACGGCUGGCCAAUAUUCCAUUCUAUUAACAUCGCAUUAUCCGUCCGUCAAAUUACACGCCAACGACCCAGUUUUUCAGGAGCCGGUCCUGGCACAAAGUAAUCUUUGCAUUCAUGGCUUCGUUAUCUCGAGAUCAUUUGCUUUCUGUGAGUACGUUGUUAUUUCAUUGAUUUUUUAAUAGGUAUAUUAUUUUAUUAUACAUAUGAUAUUAUUCUGUCAUGUAUUAUUGAUUAUCGGUUAUUCAUAUUGGUUAUCCUUGUUGUAAUUUCAUUUAUUUAUUUUAUCUUUGUUAGUUUGGUGAAGUUAUUAAAAUCGUUUUAAUGAUGCGAUAUCUGUCGUUAAUUUUCUUUACGAGUAUAACAAGUUCGAAUAUGAA